GCCGCCGUGCCCGAGCGGCCCAAGGGGGAGGGCUCGAGACCCUCUCCCCGCCAAGGGGGCGGGGGUUCGAAUCCCCCCGGCGGCG
rnacentral:tRNA from 1 species